CCAAUAGCGUAUAUUAAAGUUGUUGCAGUUAAAAAGCUCGUAGUUGAAUUUCAGGCCUGGCUGGACGGUCCGCCCUUCGGGUGAGUACUGUCUGUGGUCGGGUCCUACCUUCUGGCGAAGCGUCAUGGCCUUAACCGGCCGUGGCGGGGAACCAGGACUUUUACUGUGAAAAAAUUAGAGUGUUCAAAGCAGGCAAAUCGCUUGGAUACAUUAGCAUGGA
rnacentral:rRNA from 1 species